UACGGAGGGAGCUAGCGUUGUUCGGAAUUACUGGGCGUAAAGCGCACGUAGGCGGCUUUGUAAGUUAGAGGUGAAAGCCCGGAGCUCAACUCCGGAACUGCCUUUAAGACUGCAUCGCUUGAAUCCAGGAGAGGUGAGUGGAAUUCCGAGUGUAGAGGUGAAAUUCGUAGAUAUUCGGAAGAACACCAGUGGCGAAGGCGGCUCACUGGCCCGGUACUAACGCUGAGGUGCGAAAGCGUGGGGAGCAAACAGG
rnacentral:rRNA from 1 species